UACAGAGGUCCCAAGCGUUGUUCGGAUUCACUGGGCGUAAAGGGUGCGUAGGUGGCCAGGUAAGUUUGGUGUGAAAGCUCGGAGCUUAACUCCGAAAAGUCAUUGAAUACUAUCUGGCUGGAGGGUCGGAGGGGAGACUGGAAUUCUCGGUGUAGCAGUGAAAUGCGUAGAUAUCAGGGAGGAACACCGGCGGUGUAGACGGCUUUCUGGACCGUAGCUGACGCUGAGACACGAAAGCGUGGGUAGCAAACAGG
rnacentral:rRNA from 1 species